rnacentral:snoRNA from 1 species
ACUAGAAACACUCACGUAAAAGUUGAAUCAAUCCCUUCCCUUUUGUCUUUCUCCAUUCUGAUUAAAAAUGCAUCAACAUAAUCGUCUCCUUCCUCACUAGCAACA